rnacentral:misc_RNA from 1 species
UACGAAGGGGGCAAGCGUUGUUCGGAAUUACUGGGCGUAAAGGGCGCGUAGGCGGCUUACCAAGUCAGGCGUGAAAUUCCCGGGCUCAACCUGGGGGCUGCGCUUGAUACUGGUGAGCUUGAAUGCGGGAGAGGAUAGUGGAAUUCCCAGUGUAGAGGUGAAAUUCGUAGAUAUUGGGAAGAACACCAGUGGCGAAGGCGGCUAUCUGGCCCGUGAUUGACGCUGAGGCGCGAAAGCGUGGGGAGCAAACAGG